GACGAACGCUGGCGGCGUGCUUAACACAUGCAAGUCGAGCGGUAAGGCCCUUUCGGGGUACGACGAGCGGCGAACGGGUGAGUAACACGUGGGUGACCUGCCCUCAGCUCUGGGAUAAGCCUGGGAAACUGGGUCUAAUACCGGAUAUGACUCCAUGACGCAUGUUGUGGGGUGGAAAGCCUUGUGCGGCUGAGGAUGGGGCCCGCGGCCUAUCAGCUUGUUGGUGGGGUGANGGCCUACC
rnacentral:rRNA from 1 species